GGGGCUGGAGAGAGAUGGCUCAGAGG
rnacentral:piRNA from 1 species